rnacentral:rRNA from 1 species
GACCAGACUCCUACGGGAGGCAGCAGUGGGGAAUAUUGCACAAUGGGGGAAACCCUGAUGCAGCGACGCCGCGUGAGCGAUGAAGUAUUUCGGUAUGUAAAGCUCUAUCAGCAGGGAAGAAAAUGACGGUACCUGACUAAGAAGCCCCGGCUAACUACGUGCCAGCAGCCGCGGUAAUACGUAGGGGGCAAGCGUUAUCCGGAUUUACUGGGUGUAAAGGGAGCGUAGACGGCAAUGCAAGCCAGAUGUGAAAGCCCGGGGCUCAACCCCGGGACUGCAUUUGGAACUGUGUAGCUGGAGUGUCGGAGAGGCAGGCGGAAUUCCUAGUGUAGCGGUGAAAUGCGUAGAUAUUAGGAGGAACACCAGUGGCGAAGGCGGCCUGCUGGACGAUGACUGACGUUGAGGCUCGAAAGCGUGGGGAGCAAACAGGAUUAGAUACCCGCGUAGC